AAGGAACAAUGGGUCAGUGCAUUUGGCUGCUAACCAGAAGGUUGGUGGUUCAAGCCCACCCAGGAUUC